AUUGAACGCUGGCGGCAGGCCUAACACAUGCAAGUCGAGCGAGCGGCGGACGGGUGAGUACUGUCUGGGAAACUGCCUGAUGGAGGGGGAUAACUACUGGAGACGGUAGCUAAUACCGCAUCCCAUCAGAUGUGCCCAGAUGGGAUUAGCUAGUAGGUGGGGUAACGGCUAACCUAGGCGCCGAUCCCUAGCUGGUCUGGGAGGAUGACCAGCCACACUGGAACUGAGACACGGUCCAGACUCCUACGGGAGGCAGCAGUGGGGAAUAUUGCACAAUGGGCGCAAGCCUGAUGCAGCCAUGCCGCGUGUGUGAAGAAGGCCUUCGGGUUGUAAAGCACUUUCAGCGGGGAGGCGUUACCCGCAGAAUAAGCACCGGCUAACUCCGUGCCAGCAGCCGCGGUAAUUC
rnacentral:rRNA from 1 species